AGAAUCAACGCUGGCGGCGUGCCUAACACAUGCAAGUCGCACGAGAAAGGGUAGCAAUACCUGAGUACAGUGGCGCACGGGUGAGUAACACGUGAAUAAUCUACCUCCGAGUGGGGAAUAACUGAGAGAAAUCUUAGCUAAUACCGCAUAACACUUACGAGUCAAAGCAGCAAUGCGCUUGGGGAGGAGUUCGCGGCAGAUUAGUUAGUUGGCGGGGUAAUGGCCCACCAAGACGAUGAUCUGUA
rnacentral:rRNA from 1 species